rnacentral:snRNA from 8 species
GAAGGGGGUUCACCCAGGGCGAGGCUCAGCCAUUGCACUCCGGCUGUGCUGACCCCUGCGAAUUUCCCAAAUGUGGAAAUCUCGAUUGCAUUAUUUAUGGUAGUGGGGGACUGCGUUCGCGCUCGCCCCUG